UACGUAGGGGGCUAGCGUUGUCCGGAAUCAUUGGGCGUAAAGCGCGUGUAGGCGGCCCGAUAAGUCCGCUGUGAAAGUCCAGGGCUCAACCCUGGGAUGCCGGUGGAUACUGUCGGGCUCGAGUCCGGAAGAGGCGAGUGGAAUUCCUGGUGUAGCGGUGAAAUGCGCAGAUAUCAGGAGGAACACCAAUUGCGAAGGCAGCUCGCUGGGACGUGACUGACGCUGAGACGCGAAAGCGUGGGGAGCAAACAGG
rnacentral:rRNA from 1 species